rnacentral:rRNA from 1 species
GAUGAACGCUAGCGGGAGGCUUAACACAUGCAAGUCGAGGGGCAUCACGAGGUAGCAAUACUUUGGUGGCGACCGGCGCACGGGUGAGUAACACGUAUGCAACCUACCCUGUACAGGGGGAUAACCCGGAGAAAUUCGGACUAAUAUCCCAUGCAAUUAUUGGAGGGCAUCCUUGAUAAUUAAAGCUCAGGCGGUAUAGGAUGGGCAUGCGGAACAUUAGCUAGUUGGUAGGGUAACGGCCUACCAAGGCUACGAUGUUUAGGGGACCUGAGAGGGUUAUCCCCCACACUGGUACUGAGACACGGACCAGACUCCUACGGGAGGCAGCAGUGAGGAAUAUUGGUCAAUGGGCGCAAGCCUGAACCAGCCAUCCCGCGUGAAGGAAGAAGGCCCUAUGGGUUGUAAACUUCUUUUCCAGGGGGUGAAUAAUUCCGAUGUAUCGGGAGAUGACGGUACCCUGGGAAUAAGCAUCGGCUAACUCCGUG